rnacentral:lncRNA from 1 species
AGGGUGGUUGCCACAGAAACAUCCUCCUGCUGAGUUGGGGAUAUCCGGAAAUGCCCGCUCCGGCUAGGGGGGACCCCAGGUUUCCGUUCCCGUCUUCUCCCUUUUUUUUUUUUUUUUAGGCAAUUGGGGUUAAGUGACUUGCCCAGGGUCACACAGCUAGUAAGUGUCAAGUGUUUGGUCUGAGGCCGGACUUGAACUCAGGUCCUCCUGACUUCAGGGCCGGUGCUCUAUCCACUGCCACCCAGCUGCCCCUCCCGUGUUCUCUUUGUACCGGGUCCUUCCCGGCUGGACCUCUGUCAAGCCGCCUUCUGAAGACUGUUGUUUCCUAAAGGGUACGAUGAUCGGGACAGCCAGCGUCCAGGACUUUCAGUUGAUAAACCAGAUGUUCUCUUCUACUUGGAGAGAGGAGAUACGCCCUGGAUAAUAGAGCAGGAAGUCCUAAGGAGCACCUACCCAGGUGAGUAGAGUCCGUGGGAGUCACUGAGGAAUAGUGAACUAUUCCUUUGAGGAGAUAACC